rnacentral:rRNA from 1 species
AUGCUUACUUUUAAUGACUUUAUUCAAUCACAAGCCCUGGUUGAACUGCCAAUAAAGGGGAGGAAGUAUACAUGGAGCAAUAUGCAAUCGGAUCCAUUACUGGAACAAAUAGAUUGGUUCUUCACUUCGGACAAUUGGACCUCUAGUUAUCCAAACACAACGGUGGCCCCCCUCCCAAAACCAGUUUCUGAUCAUAUCCCUUGUGUAAUAUCGAUUGAAACCACAGUCCCUAAAUCCAAAAUCUUCCACUUUGAGAAUUUCUGGAUUUCACACCCUGGCUUCUUUGAGAUUGUUCAGUCCACAUGUCAAAAUGGCAAUUUUCCCCAUGGGGGCGGGUAUCCGUGGGGAUUUACCCGCUAA